rnacentral:rRNA from 1 species
UACAGAGGGUGCGAGCGUUGUUCGGAAUUAUUGGGCGUAAAGGGCGCGUAGGCGGUGCGGUAAGUCACCUGUGAAAUCUCCUGGCUCAACUGGGAGCUUGCAGGCGAAACUGCCGUGCUGGAGUGUGGGAGAGGUGCGUGGAAUUCCUGGUGUAGCGGUGAAAUGCGUAGAUAUCAGGAGGAACACCGGUGGUGUAAACGGCUUUCUGGACCAUAACUGACGCUGAGGCACGAAAGCGUGGGUAGCAAACAGG